GACGGACGCUGGCGGCGUGCUUAACACAUGCAAGUCGAACGGAAAGGCCUCUUUCGGGGGGUACUCGAGUGGCGAACGGGUGAGUAACACGUGAGUAACCUGCCCUUGACUUUGGGAUAACUUCAAGAAACUGGGGCUAAUACCGGAUAGGAGCUCCUGCUGCAUGGUGGGGGUUGGAAAGUUUCGGCGGUUGGGGAUGGACUCGCGGCUUAUCAGCUUGUUGGUGGGGUAGUGGCUUACCAAGGCUUUGACGGGUAGCCGGCCUGAGAGGGUGACCGGCCACAUUGGGACUGAGAUACGGCCCAGACUCCUACGGGAGGCAGCAGUGGGGAAUAUUGCACAAUGGGUGGAAGCCUGAUGCAGCAACGCCGUGUGCGGGAUGACGGCCUUCGGGUUGUAAACCGCUUUCGCUCAUGACGAAGCUUUGUGUGACGGUAGUGGGUAAAGAAGCACCGGCUAACUACGUG
rnacentral:rRNA from 1 species